UGGUCCAGUGGGUAAGGUCCCGACUUCCACCCAGACAACCAGGGUUCAAAUCCCGG
rnacentral:misc_RNA from 1 species